AUCGCUUCUCUGCCUUUUGCCUAAGAUCAAGUAUAGUGUCGGUUUUUAUCAGGUUAAUAACUGAUAUGUUCACUAUCUGGGGAUCAUAUGUUAAACUGAUUUUUGGAACAGGGAGACGGAAUAGGGGCUUACUCCAUCCACUUGAUGCAUUUACCUGGUAUUGCAGUACUUCCAGUAUCAGUGUACUCCCC
ensembl:snRNA U2 U2 spliceosomal RNA